rnacentral:piRNA from 1 species
CACGGGACUCAGCAGUGAUAAAAAU